AUAAAGUGGCGAACGGCUGAGUAACACGUGGGCAACCUGCCCUUUGCACUGGGAUAGCCUCGGGAAACCGAGGUUAAUACCGGAUACUCCAUAUUUGUCGCAUGGCGAAUAUGGGAAAGCUCCGGCGGCAAAGGAUGGGCCCGCGGCCUGUUAGCUAGUUGGUGGGGUAGUGGCCUACCAAGGCAAUGAUGGGUAGCCGGGUUGAGAGACCGACCGGCCAGAUUGGGACUGAGACACGGCCCAGACUCCUACGGGAGCAGCAGAA
rnacentral:rRNA from 1 species